GGGAACCGCCUGAACUGAAACAUCUAAGUAGGGCGAGGAAGAGACAUCAAACGAGAUUCCGUAAGUAGUGGCGAGCGAACGCGGAAGAGGGCAAACCGGGAGUAGAAAUACUUCCGGGGUACGGACCGCAUUUAGGACUUGAGUUGUUAACCGAACGGCAUGGGAAGGCCGGUCAGAGAGUGUGAGAACCACGUAGGUGAAAACGACAAGAGCUGAGCGAGUUCCAGAGUACGGCCAGACACGUGAAACCUGGUCGGAAUAUGGGGGGACCACCCUCCAACCCUAAAUACUACCCAGUGACCGAUAGCGUAUAGUACUGUGAAGGAAAGGUGAAAAGCACCCCGGGAGGGGAGUGAAAAAGAACCUGAAACCCUGUGCCUACAAGCACCUAGAGCACGUCAAUGUGUGAUAGGGUACUUUUUGUAGAACGGUCCGGCGAGCGAUUGUAUGCAGCAAGGUUAAGGACUUAAGGUCUGGAGCCGAAGCGAAAGCGAGUUUGAAAAGGGCGUUAAGUUGCAUACAAUGGGCCCGAAACCGGGUGACCUACCCAUGGUCAGGUUGAAGUGGAAGUAAAAUUCCAUGGAGGACCGAACCGACCUCCGUUGAAAAGGCGGCGGAUGAACUGUGGGUAGCGGAGAAAUUCCAAUCGAACCCGGAGAUAGCUGGUUCUCCCCGAAAUAGUUUUAGGACUAGCCUCAAGUUAGAUACCUGGAGGUAAAGCACUGAAUAGCCUAGCGGCCGAGAGGUUAGCGAAGCUUAUCAAACUCAGAAUGCCAGAGUAUUGAUGCUUGGGAGUCAGACAGUGUCAGAUAAAUGUCAUUGUCAAAAGGGAAACAGCCCAGAUCUACAGCUAAGGUCCCAAAGUCAGGUUAAGUGGAAAACGAUGUGAAGAUACGUAGACAACCAGGAUGUUGGCUCAGAAGCAGCCACACAUUCAAAGAGUGCGUAAUAGCUCACUGGUCGAGCGUCUUUGCGCGGAGAAUUUAACGGGGCUAAACCUGACACCGAAGCUUAGGCAAUACAGCAAUGUAUUGGGUAGGGGAGCGUUGUAUACGCGGUGAAACAGUAGCGCAAGCGGCUGUGGAGUGUAUAGAAGUGAGAAUGCCGGAAUGAGUAGCGCGAAUGCAGUGAGAAUCUGCAUGGCCGAAAGCCUCAGGUUUCUGGAGGAAGGUUCGUCCGCUCCAGGUUAGUCGGGAGCUAAGGUGAGGCCUAACGGCGUAGCCGAUGCACAGACGGUAGAGAUUCCGUCACCACCAAAAGAGUUAAACACAGGGACACAUUUGAAGUCUCGGAGCCGGGUGUUGGUUCCGGUAGCGAUCGAGGGAAAUUAGUACCGAAGUCCGGGAUGGAAGAUGGCGAGAAAAGCUGUGUGUAUUUCUGCGGUGCCCGUACCGCAAACCGACACAGGUAGGUAGGAAGAAGAUUCUAAGGCCAACGGGAGAAGGGUUGUUAAGGAACUCGGCAAAUUGACCCCGUAACUUCGGGAGAAGGGGUGCUCCAGAGAUGGAGCCGCAGAGAAUCGGCCCAAGCAACUGUUUACCAAAAACACAGGUUUGUGCUAAAUCGAAAGAUGACGUAUACGAGCUGACGCCUGCCCGGUGCUGGAAGGUUAAGAGGAGAUGUGCAAGCAUUGAAUCGAAGCCCCAGUGAACGGCGGCCGUAACUAUAACGGUCCUAAGGUAGCGAAAUUCCUUGUCAGGUAAGUUCUGACCCGCAUGAAAGGCGUAAUGAUUUGGGCACUGUCUCGACAGCCCGCCCGGCGAAAUUGUAGUACCGGUGAAGAUGCCGGUUACCCGCGACAAGACGGAAAGACCCCAUGGAGCUUUACUGUAGCCUAAUAUUGGGUUUCGAUGUUGCAUGCACAGGAUAGAUGGGACACAGGGAAACAAGUGCUUUGGCAUUUGUGGAGUGGCCGUUGGGAUACCAUCCUUGCGAUAUUGGAAUUCUAACCUGCGCCUUUGAAUCAAGGCGGGGGACAUUGUUAGGUGGGCAGUUUGACUGGGGCGGUCGCCUCCUAAAGAGUAACGGAGGCGUUCAAAGGUUCGCUCAGCUUGAACGGAAAUCAAGCAAAAGAGUGCAAACGCAGAAGCGAGCCUAACUGCGAGACUGACGGGUCGAGCAGUAACGAAAGUUGGAGUUAGUGAUCCGGUGGUAUGUGAGUGGAAAUGCCAUCGCUCAACGGAUAAAAGUUACCCUGGGGAUAACAGGCUGAUCUCCCCCAAGAGUCCACAUCGACGGGGAGGUUUGGCACCUCGAUGUCGGCUCAUCGCAUCCUGGGGCUG
rnacentral:rRNA from 1 species